AUUGAACGCUGGCGGCAUGCCUUACACAUGCAAGUCGAACGGCAGCACGGGGGCAACCCUGGUGGCGAGUGGCGAACGGGUGAGUAACACAUCGGAACGUGUCCUGUUGUGGGGGAUAACCAGUCGAAAGACUGGCUAAUACCGCAUGAGCUGGAGACAGGAAAGCGGGGGACCUGAAAGGGCCUCGUGCGAUUGGAGCGGCCGAUGUCCGAUUAGCUAGUUGGUGGGGAAAGGCCCACCAAGGCGACGAUCGGUAGCUGGUCUGAGAGGAUGAUCAGCCACACUGGGACUGAGACACGGCCCAGACUCCUACGGGAGGCAGCAGUGGGGAAUUUUGGACAAUGGGGGCAACCCUGAUCCAGCCAUGCCGCGUGAGUGAAGAA
rnacentral:rRNA from 1 species